rnacentral:rRNA from 1 species
CGUGAAGUUGGAAUCGCUAGUAAUCGCGGAUCAGCAUGCCGCGGUGAAUACGUUCCCGGGCCUUGUACACACCGCCCGUCACACCAUGAGAGUCGGGAACACCGAAGUCCGUAGUCUAACCGCAAGGGGACGCGGCCGAAGGUGGGUUCGAUAAUUGGGGUGAAGUCGUAACAAGGUAAC